CGGGAGCUCGGGACGCCUAUUGGUGCGCUGGGAAGUGGUGGGGUAGGCAUGUACGGCGGCUGAGCGCCAUGUUAUGUCCGGGCACAUGAACCCAUGCGGUGCAGGAGAACCUACUGUGGACACUGAGCUCCUGAGGGUGAUGAUCGCAAGCCCACGAGACAACCGCUCACUCCCGCAUCACUGCCGCCACCCCCUAACAGAGCCAGAAGAUGGUGUGGCCCCGGCGCGUUUGCGCAUUGGAAAGCGGCUAGGUUGCCUAGACAACCCGGCCAGGGACCAAGCGUGAUGCCAUGGCAACGGGAGACCGGAUGCGGCGAGACGGCGCAGAUGUGGCGUCACCAGCCCAGCGCCGGAAACCCUUCGGGUCCCGGAGCGAAUGAGCAGCGCGGGGAAAACUCUGCCGCACACGUGGUGGACCACAGCUUUAAAGGCCCCGGCGCGUUUGCGCAUUGGAAAGCGGCUAGGUUGCCUAGACAACCCGACCAGGGACCAAGCGUGAUGCCAUGGCAACGGGAGACCGGAUGCGGCGAGACGGCGCGGAUGUGGCGUCACCAGCCCAGCGCCGGAAACCCUUCGGGUCCUGGAGCGAAUGAGCAGCGCGGGGAAAACUCUGCCGCACACGUGGUGGACCACAGCUU